rnacentral:lncRNA from 1 species
AGACUGGGAGCGCUUGGGUGAUCAGCUCUGACUGAGGCGCCCUCAAGGCUCCAGUCACAGGAGGCGUGGGAAGAGAGCUUUCCAGUGCCUCUCCCUCAUGGAGAGUCCUAUCCACCUCUCCCUCCACUGGCACUCACACUGGCAUGUUCCUCCCCAUGCCCAGGCUCCUGAUGGACCCAAGCCAGCUUGCCUGCCAAGCAAAUCAAGCUCCAUUCAAAAUUCUUAAAUUGGCGAAACCAAGUAGACUUCAAGGAGGGCCCAA